rnacentral:lncRNA from 10 species
GGUAACCUGCUGGGGUUCCCUUCCACGCUGUGGGAGGUUUGUUCUUUCGCUCUUUGCAAUAAUUCUUGCUGCUGCUCACUCCUUGGGUCCACACUGCCUUUAUGAGCUGUAACACUCACUGUGAAGGUCUGCAGCUUCAGUCCUGAAGCCAGCGAGACCACGAGCCCACCAGAAGGAACGAACGACUGCAGACGUGCCGCCUUAAGAGCUAUAACACUCACCUCGAAGAUCCGCAGCUUCACUCCUGAGCCAGCGAGACCAAGAACCCACCAGAAGGAAGAAACUGCCAACACAUCCGAACAUCAGAAGGAACGAGCUCCAGACACGCAGCCUUUAAGAACUGUAACACUCACUGCGAGGGUUCGCGGCUUCAUUCUUGAAGUCAGUGAGACCAAGAACCCACCAAUUCCGGACCCACUGGCAUUACAGGCGUGAAUCACUGUGUCUGGCCAAAAAGGAUCUAAUCUUAUAGCAGUGGAAUGAGGGGGAAGCCCAGCAAGGCCCAUCUGUUUGGAGUCUUCCUGGACUUCUGGGGCCUGACCCUUUUGGAACGGGGGUUUUAAGAUUCAUAAUCGACAAAGAGAGAAUAGGAGGAAAAAGAAACUCGCUGAGGCUGUUCCAAACAGGAAACCGACUAUGCUGUCUAUUAAUCUCCAUUCUCCUUUGAGUGACUUUUCUUUCUUUAUUUAAAGAUUUAUUUCCAGUCAUAUGCCUGUGUUUUCAUAGCCAUUAGGAUAGGGAAUUAUAAGAAGAAAUAGACACGGAUAAGAAAGAAAGGCAAGGAGUUUUAUGUGUGGAUGAGUUUAAUAAAUAUUAAGAGCAAAACAGAUUUUUAAAAGGCAUCCUUUACAAAUGUGCAUAACACUUUGUGAUUCAAUUAUAAAUAAAAUACUCCUCUACCCUCUUUUUCUUGAGA